CCUGCCCCUGCCCUGAGCCCUUGUUUAUAGAGGACAGAAGACCUUGAUCUGGUUGCUCACUCCAGGGUUCCCUGAAAGCAACUUCUAGCUCACAGGCUGCUCAGGAGCGAGGUGUGGGUUCCAGAAUACCUACCAGACCCCGGUUCUCAGUAGCCACUGCUUGUAAGGUGGCCCUUCCGAUUUGUCCCACGAUGGUGGACGUGGGGCCCCACCCGGCCCCACUGCAGGAUGCAUUUCACUUAUAAUUGUAGGAAGAGCAAAAAACACAACAGAACCCCCAUCUUCCUCCUCUCUCCCUUUGUUUCAAGACAAACAAGAGCAACUGGCAUCCCCCGCCCCGCCCCCAACUGCUUGUGCCGCCAGCCCGGGCGCCCGGGAAAGGAAACCUGUUUUCCUGCUGCCGGGUCCUGUUUCCCCGCCCUCCGCCCGCGCCCCCAGCGCCCAGAGCUCCCGGCUCCCGCGGCCCGCGUUCCAGGGAACCCAAUCCCCGCGCACGUGACGCCUCGGAGGCUGGCCUCACCCCGAGCUGGGCACAGUGGCUGUCGCCCGCCCACCCUGGGUCUCCCAGGUGAUUUGACACAGCUGAGAGUUGGCGUCCCCUUGGAUUCUGCAUGGAAACCCUAGUCCCUGGUUCGGGCCUGAAAUGCAGUGAACUGACACAGUUGAAAAGAUGGAAGAGAGAUAACAAGACCUUUUAAAAAUAUCCUUGUAUGUCCUGCUCCCCAUGGUCCUGUUCUUUCACUGUCAAGAAGCCGCCACAGAAGAUGGGACAGAACUCACCCCUUAAAACCAGGCCCAGUGGACCCCACCUCAGCACCGUGACUGCAGUCUCCGACGUCCAGGCGCUCACACACCUCCUGAGCUUUGGAGGACACGUGGGAAUUUUGGGGGAUGGCUGGAGGUUCGAGAGUUUCCUUAGCAGAUCAUUUCCGGCCGAUGCUGAGAUUCAGCCCCUGUUGGAGCUCAAAAUGGAACCGCUUCAGAAACGCAGCCCAGUGGAUGUCAGGAGUGUGAAGUGGCAGCUCAGUUGUGGGAGGGGCUCUGACAAGAAAAGAAUUGCCCUGGACCCAAGCAAAACUCAAAAUCCACAGAGUUUUAUUUGAAUGAUCUUGAAGGUUUUCUCCAUUUAACAACAUUAAGAUUCUUUUGCUUGGCUGUAACAUUUUGACACUGAUAGUAUGAAUACCAAGGAGGAAUGUGAUGUAGGUAGAAGUGUUUUGGACCAACUGAAAUAAAUUCAGAUAAAAGAUAUUUA